CCUACGGGCGGCAGCAGUGAGGAAUAUUGGUCAAUGGAUGGAAGUCUGAACCAGCCAUGCCGCGUGCAGGAAGACGGCCCUAUGAGUUGUAAACUGCUUUUGUACAAGGGUAAACCUGAAUACGUGUAUUCAGCUGAAAGUACUGUACGAAUAAGGAUCGGCUAACUCCGUGCCAGCAGCCGCGGUAAUACGGAGGAUCCAAGCGUUAUCCGGAUUUAUUGGGUUUAAAGGGUGCGUAGGCGGAUUGAUAAGUUAGAGGUGAAAUGUCCGAGCUUAACUCGGGAACUGCCUCUAAUACUGUUGAUCUAGAGAGUAGAUGAGGUAGGCGGAAUGUAUGGUGUAGCGGGGAAAUGCUUAGAGAUCAUACAGAACACCGAUUGCGAAGGCAGCUUACCAAUCUAUAUCUGACGUUGAGGCACGAAAGCGUGGGGAGCAAACAGGAUUAGAUACCCUUGUAGUC
rnacentral:rRNA from 1 species